rnacentral:rRNA from 1 species
UACGAAGGGGGCUAGCGUUGUUCGGAAUCACUGGGCUUAAAGGGCGCGUAGGCGGAUGAGCAAGUCUGUGGUGAAAUCCCCCGGCUUAACCGGGGAACUGCCGUGGAUACUGCCCAUCUCGAGGAAGAUAGGGGCGUCUGGAACUAGCGGUGGAGCGGUGAAAUGCGUUGAUAUCGCUAGGAACUCCGGUGGCGAAGGCGAGACGCUGGAUCUUUCUGACGUGAGCGCGAAAGCCAGGGGGAGCGAACGGGG